rnacentral:rRNA from 1 species
CCCGCACAAGCGGUGGAGCAUGUGGUUUAAUUCGAUGCAACGCGAAGAACCUUACCAGGUCUUGACAUCCAAAGAAUCCCUUCGAAAGAAGGGAGUGCCUUCGGGAGCUUUGAGACAGGUGGUGCAUGGUUGUCGUCAGCUCGUGUCGUGAGAUGUUGGGUUAAGUCCCGCAACGAGCGCAACCCUUGCUAUUAGUUGCUAACAGGUAAUGCUGAGCACUCUAAUGGGACUGCCGGUGACAAGCCGGAGGAAGCGGGGAUGACGUCAAAUCAUCAUGCCCCUUAUGACCUGGGCUACACACGUGCUACAAUGGGCGGUACAAAGGGUCGCGAACCCGCGAGGGGGAGCCAAUCCCAAAAAGCCGCUCUCAGUUCGGAUUGCAGGCUGCAACUCGCCUGCAUGAAGCCGGAAUCGCUAGUAAUCGCGGAUCAGCAUGCCGCGGUGAAUACGUUCCCGGGCCUU